AUUGAACGCUGGCGGCAUGCCUUACACAUGCAAGUCGAACGGUAACGCGGGGCAACCUGGCGACGAGUGGCGAACGGGUGAGUAAUGUAUCGGAACGUGCCCAGUUGUGGGGGAUAACUGCUCGAAAGAGCAGCUAAUACCGCAUACGACCUGAGGGUGAAAGCGGGGGAUCGCAAGACCUCGCGCAAUUGGAGCGGCCGAUAUCAGAUUAGGUAGUUGGUGGGGUAAAGGCCCACCAAGCCAACGAUCUGUAGCUGGUCUGAGAGGACGACCAGCCACACUGGGAUUGAGACACGGCCCAGACUCCUACGGGAGGCAGCAGUGGGGAAUUUUGGACAAUGGGCGCAAGCCUGAUCCAGCCAUGCCGCGUGCGGGAAGAAGGCCUUCGGGUUGUAAACCGCUUUUGUCAGGGAAGAAACGCUCUGGGCUAAUACCCUGGGGUAAUGACGGUAUCUGAAGAAUAAGCACCGGCUAACUACGUGCCAGCCGCCGCCGUAACAC
rnacentral:rRNA from 1 species